ACAGGCAUCGCAUGAGCCCCUUCUUAGGGCAAGGGACUAAAUCCAACAAGAGGUACCAUGUUGUUUUCAUUCCCCAAGGAUUUCACAGGUCUGAGAUCCACCUGCUGCCCAGGGGUACUGCGGAAAUGGGUCACUGGUGUGCCAUGACCCUGGGCAUGUCCUCAGCCGUCAGGUCAGUCAGGAUGCAGCCUGGGACACAGGAGUGCACUUCAGAUGGUCUCCCUUGCUGAGCUGUGAGCUCCCGGUGCUCAGGUGGAAUCUUCCUCUUCUUGGCAUGGACUUGAGCAACCCGCCCUGCUCCUGUCCUGCAGCCACAUCUACAUCACACGUGCAGAAGACGAGGCUGAGAAGGGACUCCGUAUUAUCAAGGCAAGUGUGGGACGCAGCACGCAGACCAACUUCGGAAUACAGAAAACACCCUCGACCAUGUCCGAGUGAGGCUCAUUUCCCCUGAGGAUGGCACUAAACGCAACAAAGGUAACGGGGCCUCCGAAGGAAGGACUUGUGGCAUUAAAGUACCCGGUCCCCUGGUACAGCAGAGGUGCCAGGCUGGCAGCAGUUACUUAGAAUGGGCUUCAUUUGAUAUAUGAGAGUGAAAACCAGGAAAUGCGGCCCAGUUUCUCUUUUGAAAUCCCUCCCUUGGUUAGAUUUGAAUCUCAUGUCUCUAUGCUUUGUUUCAAACUAAAUAUCAAAAGUCUCUCGCUUCUGUUAUCUCUCUGACAGUUCAAUAUAUUGUAUUAAAAACUCUCCGGAGACAAAAAAAAAUGCACUUUCAAGUGGUGUUUAGAAACUUGCCACCCCUUGCCUUUCUUCAUUUCUGAAUCUCUUGGAUGCUUCAUAAAACAAAGGAGAA